CUGCCGGAAUCCGACGCUCUCCCCAAGGACACAAGCCAUGCAUGCCCGCGCACCCGGGAGGCGGCGGACGGCUCAGGACAACGGUUGCACCCCCCGCGGCGGUCCCUGCUAGCCGGACACCGCUGGCAACCCGGCGCCAAGACGUGCGCGCAAGGGCGGGCGCCCGCGGGCGAGCAGCGUGACGCAGCGACGGCCCGCCCGGGCUUCCGGGGCAUCACCCGGUCGGCGCGGUCGCGGCGCGCCGAGGGCCCGACGCCUGGCGGAGAA
rnacentral:rRNA from 1 species